rnacentral:lncRNA from 1 species
CCCCCCCCCAUCCUUCCCUCCAAGAACUUCCCACCUUGCUCUUGGGGAGACUCGAACUCACAACCUCUCGGUUGUAAGUGGGAGUUGCUUACCAUCAGAGCAACCCCUCUUGUCCACAGCUGAAAGCAACUCUACUUAUUAAUAACAAGAACAGGUGAAACUCAAAUAAUAAAUAACUGAUUGUUGAACGUAUAAUUUACAGAUAAUCACUGACAGCAUAAUUUAAAGAUAAUCACUCUUAAAGAAUUAAUAUAUGUUAUAUAGUUCCAAAAGUGAUUUAUCGUGUAAACCAUAAGCAACAAUAAUUUAAAGUGUUGGUUUACUAAAAAGAAAUUUGUGAAAUCAGGUGAAAUUAAAACCAGAAAGCCCAUAAUCUGUUUACCCCCACACAGUUAGUGACAUCUUAGAAGUUCUUGGUAGUAUGGU